rnacentral:rRNA from 1 species
GGCGAGUUUGAUCAUGGCUCAGGACGAACGCUGGCGGCGUGCCUAAUACAUGCAAGUCGAGCGGGGUUUACGCCUGGAAAUCUUCGGAUGGACAGGCGCAAAACCUAGCGGCGAACGGGUGAGUAACACGUAGGCAACCUGCCCCCAAGCUUGGGAUAACAUCCGGAAACGGAUGCUAAUACCGAAUAGUCGUCUGCGGCGCAUGCUGCAGACGGGAAAGGCGGUGUGAGCUGCCGCUUGGGGAUGGGCCUGCGGCGCAUUAGCUAGUAGGUAGGGUAACGGCCUACCUAGGCGACGAUGCGUAGCCGACCUGAGAGGGUGACCGGCCACACUGGGACUGAGACACGGCCCAGACUCCUACGGGAGGCAGCAGUAGGGAAUCUUCCACAAUGGGCGCAAGCCUGAUGGAGCAACGCCGCGUGAGUGAGGAAGGCUUUCGGGUCGUAAAGCUCUGUUGCCAGGGAAGAAAGCCAUGGAGAGUAACUGCUCUGUGGUUGACGGUACCUGAGAAGAAAGCCCCGGCUAACUACGUGCCAGCAGCCGCGGUAAUAAGUUUCCCUG